rnacentral:rRNA from 1 species
UGGCGGCGUGGAUAAGACAUGCAAGUCGAACGGGGCAGUUCUGGUAGUAAUAUUAGAAUUGUUCAGUGGCGAACGGGUGCGUAACACGUGGACAACAUUCCGGGAAGCGGGGGAUAGCCCAGGGAAACUUGGAUUAAUACCGCAUGUGGACGAGUGAGGCAUCUCACGAAGUCUAAAGGGUGGGGACCGCAAGGNCUGCCACUUCCCGAUUGGUCCGCGGNCUAUCAGCUAGUUGGUGAGGUAAAGGCUCACCAAGGCUACGACGGGUAGCUGGUCUUAGAGGACGACCAGCCACACUGGGACUGAGACACGGGCCAGACAACUACGGGUGGCAGNAGUCGAGAAUCUUUCACAAUGGGGGGAAACCCUGAUGGAGCGACGCCGCGUGGAGGGAUAAGGUCUNCGGAUUGUAAACUCC